rnacentral:rRNA from 1 species
AUGCGCCACACAUCAGAGACAUGCACGAACCAGGUCCGGUGCCGCAAUUGUUUUCGUUCGGGACACGUUAAAAAAAACUGCACCGGCAAGCCGCCUGACUUAUCCGUCUGGGUGCCUAAAGUCCCAUCGCCGGGUUUUGGGAAGCGGGACCGAACAGAGGACCUCCUUUCUCCCCCCGUCUCUCUAGUUUCCCGAGACCAAACGACUCCGGAGAAAACCCCAUCCUCUGCUUCUCCGCCGCCACCAUCGCCGCCUGACCGCCCUGUUGAGCACACCCAAGCUUCCCCCAGCUCUGGUCCGGCCCCCUGCUCCGCAGCCUCCAAUGGCGGUGUUUGA